rnacentral:rRNA from 1 species
UACAGAGGUCCCAAGCGUUGUUCGGAUUCACUGGGCGUAAAGGGUGCGUAGGCGGUCGGGUAAGUCUGGCGUGAAAUCUCCAAGCCUAACUUGGAAACUGCGUUGGAUACUAUCCGGCUCGAGGAAUGGAGGGGAGACUGGAAUACUUGGUGUAGCAGUGAAAUGCGUAGAUAUCAGGAGGAACACCAAUGGCGAAGGCAGCUCGCUGGGACGGUACUGACGCUGAGACGCGAAAGCGUGGGGAGCAAACAGG